rnacentral:rRNA from 1 species
UACGAAGGGGGCUAGCGUUGCUCGGAAUCACUGGGCGUAAAGCGCACGUAGGCGGCUUUUUAAGUCAGGGGUGAAAUCCUGGAGCUCAACUCCAGAACUGCCUUUGAUACUGAGAAGCUUGAGUCCGGGAGAGGUGAGUGGAACUGCGAGUGUAGAGGUGAAAUUCGUAGAUAUUCGCAAGAACACCAGUGGCGAAGGCGGCUCACUGGCCCGGUACUGACGCUGAGGCGCGACAGCGUGGGGAGCAAACAGG